rnacentral:lncRNA from 1 species
AGCGCAGAGAAUAACAUUGACCUAUGUCUCCUUCCAAGCCGCAACUGCUCCAAGGCAUUUUAUGUGAAGUAGGACCACAGAUACCCAAUGUUGCUUUGGAG